rnacentral:lncRNA from 1 species
ACGAGAGAUUGAAUGACCAUGAGAUGAUGAUGACAGGGCUCUAGUGGUUUCUGGUGGAGAAUAAUGUCCUAAAUUUUGUUUAUUCAUUUUUAGGAGUUCUUGUAUUUGUUUAUUUUGCUCCAUUAUAAGCAUCUCUUGCUGAUCAACUCUUUGUUUUAAGGCUUCAACUUCAUUUUGAUUACCCAUGGAUGUAUCUGAAAAUUUACCACGCCUCGAAAUAUCGCCAUAUACUAUAGCUGCAGUGGCACCUUUUCCAUACAUCUUUACUCUUCCCCUUUUAUCUGGUCCAACAACUUGAGAGAAA